rnacentral:rRNA from 1 species
UAAUACGUAGGGACCAAGCGUUGUUCGGAUUUACUGGGCGUAAAGGGCGCGUAGGCGGCGUGGUAAGUCAAUUGUGAAAUCUCCGAGCUUAACUCGGAACGGUCAAUUGAUACUGCUGUGCUAGAGUACAGAAGGGGCAAUCGGAAUUCUUGGUGUAGCGGUGAAAUGCGUAGAUAUCAAGAGGAACACCUGAGGUGAAGACGGGUUGCUGGGCUGAUACUGACGCUGAGGCGCGAAAGCUAGGGUAGCAAACGGGAUUAGAUACCCCGGUAGUCCUAGCCCUAAACGAUGAAUACUUGGUGUCUGGAGUUUUAAUUCUCCGGGUGCCGUCGCUAACGUUUUAAGUAUUCCGCCUGGGGAGUACGCUCGCAAGAGUG